rnacentral:rRNA from 1 species
AGAGUUUGAUCCUGGCUCAGGAUGAACGCUGGCGGCGUGCCUAACACAUGCAAGUCGAGCGAUUCUCUUCGGAGAAGAGCGGCGGACGGGUGAGUAACGCGUGGGUAACCUGCCCCGUACACACGGAUAACAUACCGAAAGGUAUGCUAAUACGAGAUAAUAUACUUUUAUCGCAUGGUAGAAGUAUCAAAAGCUCCGGCGGUACAGGAUGGACCCGCGUCUGAUUAGCUAGUUGGUAAGGUAACGGCUUACCAAGGCGACGAUCAGUAGCCGACCUGAGAGGGUGAUCGGCCACAUUGGAACUGAGACACGGUCCAAACUCCUACGGGAGGCAGCAGUGGGGAAUAUUGCACAAUGGGCGAAAGCCUGAUGCAGCAACGCCGCGUGAGCGAUGAAGGCCUUCGGGUCGUAAAGCUCUGUCCUCAAGGAAGAUAAUGACGGUACUUGAGGAGGAAGCCCCGGCUAACUACGUG